UNGUAGGCGGCUGGUCGCGUCUGUCGUGAANUCCUCUGGCUUAACUGGGGGCUUGCGGUGGGUACGGGCCGGCUNGAGUGCGGUAGGGGAGACUGGAACUCCUGGUGUAGCGGUGGAAUGCGCAGAUAUCAGGAAGAACACCGGUGGCGAAGGCGGGUCUCUGGGCCGUUACUGACGCUGAGGAGCGAAAGCGUGGGGAGCGAACAGGAUUAGAUACCCUGGUAGUNCACGCCGUAAACGUUGGGCACUAGGUGUGGGGGGCCUUUUCCGGGUCUUCCGCGCCGUAGCUAACGCAUUAAGUGCCCCGCCUGGGGAGUACGGCCGCAAGGCUAAAACUCAAAGGAAUUGACGGGGGCCCGCACAAGCGGCGGAGCAUGCGGAUUAAUUCGAUGCAACGCGAAGAACCUUACCAAGGCUUGACAUGUGCCGGUCGGCUCCGGAGACGGGGUAUCCUCCUUGUGGGGCCGGUUCACAGGUGGUGCAUGGUUGUCGUCAGCUCGUGUCGUGAGAUGUUGGGUUAAGUCCCGCAACGAGCGCAACCCUUGUCCCGUGUUGCCAGCACGUUGUGGUGGGGACUCGCGGGAGACUGCCGGGGUCAACUCGGAGGAAGGUGGGGAUGACGUCAAAUCAUCAUGCCCCUUAUGUCUUGGGCUUCACGCAUGCUACAAUGGCCGGUACAGAGGGCUGCGAUACCGUGAGGUGGAGCGAAUCCCUUAAAGCCGGUCUCAGUUCGGAUCGGUGUCUGCAACUCGACACCGUGAAGUUGGAGUCGCUAGUAAUCGCAGAUCAGCAACGCUGCGGUGAAUACGUUCUCGGGCCUUGUACACACCGCCCGUCACGUCAUGAAAGUCGG
rnacentral:rRNA from 1 species